rnacentral:rRNA from 1 species
UACGUAGGGGGCAAGCGUUGUCCGGAAUUAUUGGGCGUAAAGGGCGCGUAGGCGGCUGUAUAAGUCUGAUGUGAAAGUGCGGAGCUUAACUCCGUAAAGCAUUGGAAACUGUACGGCUUGAGGACAGGAGAGGAAAGUGGAAUUCCACGUGUAGCGGUGAAAUGCGUAGAUAUGUGGAGGAACACCAGUGGCGAAGGCGACUUUCUGGACUGUAACUGACGCUGAGGCGCGAAAGCGUGGGGAGCGAACAGG